rnacentral:rRNA from 1 species
CCUACGGGAGGCAGCAGUGGGGAAUAUUGGACAAUGGGCGAAAGCCUGAUCCAGCAAUGCCGCGUGAGUGAUGAAGGCCCUAGGGUUGUAAAGCUCUUUUACCAGGGAUGAUAAUGACAGUACCUGGAGAAUAAGCUCCGGCUAACUCCGUGCCAGCAGCCGCGGUAAUACGGAGGGAGCUAGCGUUGUUCGGAAUUACUGGGCGUAAAGCGUGCGUAGGCGGUGACUCAAGUCAGAGGUGAAAGCCUGGAGCUCAACUCCAGAACUGCCUUUGAAACUAGGUCGCUAGAAUCACGGAGAGGUGAGUGGAAUUCCGAGUGUAGAGGUGAAAUUCGUAGAUAUUCGGAAGAACACCAGUGGCGAAGGCGGCUCACUGGACGUGUAUUGACGCUGAGGCACGAAAGCGUGGGGAGCAAACAGGAUUAGAUACCCUGGUAGUCCACGCCGUAAACGAUGAUAACUAGCUGCCAGGGUCUCUUAGAGUCUUUGGUGGCGCAGCUACGCAUUAAGUUAUCCGCCGUCGGGUAGGUACGGUCGCGAGAGUAAACGUACGAAGAAGUAGACGGCGUGAGACGUGCCGACGGACGACGACGAGGGAGAGG